CCGAGUUUACAACUCCCAAACCCAAUGUGAACGUUACCAAACUGUUGCCUCGGCGGGGUCACGCCCCGGGUGCGUAAAAGCCCCGGAACCAGGCGCCCGCCGGAGGAACCAACCAAACUCUUUCUGUAGUCCCCUCGCGGACGUAUUUCUUACAGCUCUGAGCAAAAAUUCAAAAUAAGUUA
rnacentral:misc_RNA from 1 species